rnacentral:rRNA from 1 species
AGAGUUUGAUCCUGGCUCAGGAUGAACGCUGGCGGCGUGCCUAAUACAUGCAAGUCGAGCGAGAAUCAGUUGAACGGAGAUUCGUCAAAGUGAAGCUGAGGAAAGCGGCGGACGGGUGAGUAACGCGUAGGCAACCUGCCCUUAGCAGAGGGAUAGCCAUUGGAAACGAUGAUUAAAACCUCAUAAUGCUGAUUUAACACAUGUUGGAUCAGCCAAAGAUUUAUCGGCUAAGGAUGGGCCUGCGUCUGAUUAACUAGUUGGUGAGGUAACGGCUCACCAAGGUGACGAUCAGUAGCCGACCUGAGAGGGUGAUCGGCCACAUUGGAACUGAGACACGGUCCAAACUUCUACGGAAGGCAGCAGUAAGGAAUCUUGCACAAUGGGGGAAACCCUGAUGCAGCAACGCCGCGUGAACGAUGAAGGCCUUAGGGUUGUAAAGUUCUGAUCUGUGGGAAGAAGAAGUGACGGUACCACAGGAGAAAGCCCCGGCUAAAUACGUGCCAGCAGCCGCGGUAAUACGUAUGGGGCAAGCGUUAUCCGGAAUUAUUGGGCGUAAAGAGUGCGUAGGUGGUUACCUAAGCGCAAGGUUUAAUCUUGAGGCUCAACCUCAUUCUGCCUUGCGAACUGGGCUACUUGAGUGCAGGAGGGGAAAGCGGAAUUCCCAGUGUAGCGGUGAAAUGCGUAGAUAUUGGGAAGAACACCGGUGGCGAAGGCGGCUUUCUGGACUGUAACUGACACUGAGGCACGAAAGCGUGGGGAGCAAACAGGAUUAGAUACCCUGGUAGUCCACGCCGUAAACGAUGAGCACUAGUUGUUGGGUACGAAUGUAUUCAGUGACGCAGUUAACGCAAUAAGUGCUCCGCCUGGGGAGUACGGUGGCAACACUAAAACUCAAAGGAAUUGACGG